UGAAAAUUUAGAUGCUGUACAAUUUGCGUCAAUGAAUGGUGGAAUGGUGGAAACUGAGAAACCCAUAAAUGUUGAUUCUAAGAGUGACAGACAAUGGGUUGUAGAUGCUACUGAACAGGAGCUAUGUGUUGAGAAGCAGAAAUUUGAAACUUUAGAUGCUGUAGAAUUAGAUUGUCGUGCGACUAAUCACACUACGAACUGCGCACCUGAA
rnacentral:misc_RNA from 1 species